rnacentral:rRNA from 1 species
AGAGUUUGAUCCUGGCUCAGGAUUAACGCUGGCGGCGUGCAUAACACAUGCAAGUCGAACGAUGAAACUUUAAUGAACCCUUCGGGGAGAAUUAAAGCGGAUUAGUGGCGAACGGGUGAGUAACGCGUGAGUAACCUGCCUUACACAAGGGGAUAGCCUUUGGAAACGAAGAAUAAUACCCUAUAAAACCAUAAAAGCACAUGCAAUUAUGGUCAAAGUAUUAGCGGUGUAAGAUGGACUUGCGUCUGAUUAGCUAGUUGGUGAGAUAAAAGCCCACCAAGGCAACGAUCAGUAGCCGGCUUGAGAGAGUGUACGGCCACAUUGGGACUGAGACACGGCCCAGACUCCUACGGGAGGCAGCAGUGGGGAAUUUUGCACAAUGGGGGAAACCCUGAUGCAGCGACGCCGCGUGAUUUAGAAGGCCUUCGGGUUGUAAAAAUCUUUUGUAUAGGAAGAAAAUGACAGUACUAUACGAAUAAGGUCCGGCUAAUUACGUGCCAGCAGCCGCGGUAAUACGUAAGGACCGAGCGUUGUCCGGAAUCAUUGGGCGUAAAGGGUACGUAGGCGGCUAGAAAAGUUAGAAGUCAAAGGCUAUAGCUCAACUAUAGUAAGCUUCUAAAACUAUUUAGCUUGAGAGAUGGAAGGGAAAGUGGAAUUCCUAGUGUAGCGGUGGAAUGCGCAGAUAUUAGGAGGAAUACCGGUGGCGAAGGCGACUUUCUGGCCAUUUUCUGACGCUGAGGUACGAAAGCGUGGGUAGCAAACAGGAUUAGAUACCCUGGUAGUCCACGCCGUAAACGAUGAGUGUUAGUGUCUGGAGUCAAAUCUGGGUGCCGCAACAAACGCAUUAAACACUCCGCCUGGGGGAGUACGCACGCAAGUGUGAAACUCAAAGGAAUUGACGG